GGAUCAGUGUUUGCUCACUGGUUAUGGCAUUGGACUACUGAUCAGAUGGUCAUGAGUUCAAAUCCCAUCACCGCCA